GACGAACGCUGGUGGCGUGCCUAAUACAUGCAAGUCGAGCGAGCGGAAUAACAGAUUUACUUCGGUAAUGACGUUGGGGAAGCGAGCGGCGGAUGGGUGAGUAACACGUGGGGAACCUGCCCCUAACUCUGGGAUACCAUUUGGAAUCAGGUGCUAAUACCGGAUAAUAAAGCAGAUCGCAUGAUCAGCUUUUGAAAGGCGGCGUAAGCUGACGCUAAGGGAUGGCCCCGCGGUGCAUUAGCUAGUUGGUAA
rnacentral:rRNA from 1 species